CGGGCUUUCGUGGUGUGACGGGCGGUGUGUACAAGGCCCGGGAACGUAUUCACCGCGUCGUGCUGAUACGUGAUUACUAGCGAUUCCUCCUUCAUGGAGUCGAGUUGCAGACUCCAAUCUGAACUUAGACCGGCUUUUUGGGUUUAGCUCUACCUCGCGGUGUGGCAUCCCUUUGUACCGGCCAUUGUAGCACGUGUGUAGCCCAGGACGUAAGGGGCAUGAUGACUUGACGUCAUCCCCGCCUUCCUCCCCGUUGACCGGGGCAGUUCCUCUAGAGUGCCCAGCAUGACCUGAUGGCAACAAGAGGUGAGGGUUGCGCUCGUUGCGGGACUUAACCCAACAUCUCACGACACGAGCUGAUGACAGCCAUGCACCACCUGUCUCCGCGCUCCCUUGCGGGCACCCCCUUCUUUCGAA
rnacentral:rRNA from 1 species